rnacentral:rRNA from 1 species
GAUGAACGCUGGCGGCGUGCCUAAUACAUGCAAGUCGAGCGAAGCGGGGACGGGCGAGUAACACGUGGAUAACCUCCUAUAAGACUGGGAGAAAUUCGGGAAACCGGAGUUAAACCGGAGAAUUCUAGAUUGAUCCGAGCUGCAUUAGCUAGUUGGUAAGGUAACGGCUUACCAAGGCAACUAUGCAUAGCCGACUUGGGAGGGUGAUCGGCUACAGUGGAGCUGAGACACGGUCCAGACUCCUACGGGAGGCAGCAGUAGGGAAUCUUCCGCAAUGGGCGAAGGCCUGACGGAGCAACGCCGCGUGAGUGAGGAAGGUCUUCGGAUCGUAAAACUCUGUUAUUAGGGAAGCGGUAACUAAUCAGAAACCCACGGCUCACUACGUGCCAGCAGCCGCGGUAAUAC